UUUCGAAUUCUUCCCAAUGGGCGCAAGCCUGAGGGUGCAAUACCGCGUGGAGGAUGAAGGCCUUAGGGUCGUAAACUCCUGUCGUCAGGGACAAAACCCCCAAUCACUAAUCGGGUUGGGGCUGAUUUAACUUGAAGAGGAAGAGGUGGCUAACUCUGUGCCAGCAGCCGCGGUGAUACAGAGACCUCAAGCGUUACUCGGAUUCACUGGGCGUAAAGGGUACGUAGGUGGCAUGGUGUGUUGGAUGUGAA
rnacentral:rRNA from 1 species